UAUUAUUACUCAACCAGUUUUGUUCGAUACUGUUUUAUAUUUUAAAACUACGAGUAUUAUUUAAAGAGAACUAUUUUCUUCAAGUUUAAUACACAAAAAACAGGGCGACGAUCACCAUGGGGUGAUAUUCGGCCGCAAAUGGACUUUAUGGAAGGCACUUGUGGACCAUUGGUGGGAAUUACAGUUAAUACGUUUGGCUAAUGACGGAUCCGAUGCCGAUGCUGAUGCCAAUUCCAAUUCCAUUUUCAUUUCCAAUUCAACUUCAACUGCCAUUUAAGUUAAAUAUUUUGUCUGUUUGCUGUUGCUGCAUUUAAAUUGGCGCAUUAGUUGGCUAAAUGCAUUUCCCUGAAGCCGCAAUGAGAACGAGACGAGCGUCCAUGACGGAUGCCAGACACUGCCAGAAAUGUGCGAAUACUCGUAGAUAGCAAUUCAAACGGGUUUGCUGAAAGAUUUUAGAAUGGAAUGGGAAUGUUUUUGGCCGCGUUAUCUUAAUUAGGCCAUAAUGAACUGAAUAAAUAAUCAUAAUCUCGCUUUCUUUAGAUUCCAGUUAUCCAAGGUUAUGCUUG
rnacentral:sRNA from 1 species